rnacentral:lncRNA from 1 species
GUCACCCACCAGACUUCUAACUUUUGCAUUGCAAGGUUGUAAAACUUGUAGGUUCAUAAUCAAUUUUUACUUUCAUGUAAAAUUUGAUGAGAAACCAUUAGCUCUAAAAAUAUAUUGGAGACCUAUUUACAUGCUUUUUAUAAUAAAAUAGUUAGGUAACAAGCAACAUGUGUAUUAUGGGUAAAUGGUGUUAUAACAUAACACUUUGAUUGUUAAAUGCUAUUGUCUUAUUUCCAUUUUUUAAUGUUAUUUUAAUUUUUCCUCUUAUGCUUUAUUUAUCUCAGAUUAGUACUUUGCACAGACUUUAGAGCUAGACUCACUAUAUCAUGCAUGAGAGAUCCAAACAUGACCCAACUAGACUUAUCAUAUAAGGGCCUUCAUGGCCAAAUUUGAAAAUAAAUAACUCUUUUUCUUUUAGAAACCUUAGCCCUCUUUCAUCUGAGAACAUCAUGGUUAGAGGAGAUCACUUGAUUUAUCAUGUAAUAUCUUACAUGGUAUCAAAGCUAUAUUUUUUUUUUGU